rnacentral:lncRNA from 1 species
CAGGAGGUUGGCACUUGGAUUCCAACAUGAAGCGUGUCAAGGAAACCAUAUGUUGCUGGACAGGACAUAUGACCCAGUACUAGCAUAUGGGGCUCCAUGCCCUGAUGGAGGUAGAAUUAAAUAAAGAAGGUAGCAGUCCCUGGGCACUGGAGAUAGUCCCAUAGAUAUUCACAUAUCCAGCUUCAUAUUGAGGGCAGGUUAGGAGAGAAAACAGAAGG